rnacentral:rRNA from 1 species
GACGAACAGUGCAAGUGUUAUUCGGAUUUAUUGGGUGUAAAGGGUAUGUAGGUUGCUAUUUGAAAAUAGUGCGAAAUACUAGGGAAAUAACCUUAGAAGUUGUUCUUUAAGAUUAUUUAGCUUUGAGUUAAAGAGAGGUUGGAAAAAAUUCUAGUGUAGAGUUAAAAUCCUUCAAUAUUAGAAUGAAUACCAUUGGCGAAGGCGUCUUUCUAGGUUUAACUGACGCUGAUAUACGGAAGCAUGGGGAGCAAACAGG